CUGACGGCAACGCCCUGGCCUAGGAUGAGGCUCAAGGCUCAAGGUACUGGAAAAUAUUUUAUUGCGACUUCUUUUACGUAGCCGAAGAAGAAAUAUAACUUUUAACAAUGAAGGAUGCGCCAUAAAUUAAAAAUUCCAAACUUAAAAACGUAACAAUAAAUACACGACGAUACAACGGCAAACAGGACAUGCAGUUGAUUUAUUUCUACGUCGGAAAAUCUGAGCUCAACCCAGCAAACCGAAGCAUUCAGUUGCAAUGCCAAUCCCAAUCUCGAUAUACUCAGUCCAGUCCCAGUCUCUCAUCUCCCCAGUGAUGCCAAGGUGCUGCUCAAAGAGACGGAAGUAUUUAUUUCAUAAUCGUUAUAAGAUAAUGAACAAAAUCUAUGAGAAUUGAAAUAAAACAUCGAAGUGAAUGAUAAUGGAAAGAGUGCAGAGCAUAAAAAAUGGCAAGGAAUGAAACCGAAAACACAUAAAAUACGUGGCGCAUAUUAAAUUCUUAUAAAAUCAGGACGCAGGAUACGCGGCAAUGUGCGAUUCGAGGACAUGACGAGAGGAACCUCAUGCUGCUGCUGUCGUUGAUGCCACGCAGAGUGAUAUUAAAAACUUGUUGCUAAUAAAAGAUACGGAUA